GUGGGGGAUAUUGCACAAUGGGGGAAACCCUGAUGCAGCGACGCCGCGUGAGUGAAGGAGCGUUUCGGCGCGUAAAGCUCUAUCAGCAGGGAAGACAAACUGCCCCGGAAGGGGCAGCCGGACGGUACCUGACCAAGAAGCCCCGGCUAACUACGUGCCAGCAGCCGCGGUAAUACGUAGGGGGCAAGCGUUAUCCGGAUUUACUGGGUGUAAAGGGAGCGUAGACGGCAAGACAAGCCUGGAGUGAAAGGCGGGGGCCCAACCCCCGGACUGCUCUGGGAACUGUCUGGCUGGAGUGCAGGAGGGGUAAGUGGAAUUCCUAGUGUAGCGGUGAAAUGCGUAGAUAUUAGGAGGAACACCAGUGGCGAAGGCGGCUUACUGGACUGUAACUGACGUUGAGGCUCGAAAGCGUGGGGAGCAAACAGGA
rnacentral:rRNA from 1 species